AGAAGGGCGGCGCCGUGGCUGGGGAAACGAGCGGCGGUGACAUCAACGAUCUACGCCUCGCCGCCAUCAACCACGCCACCUCAGAUCUAGGCGGCGGCGGCCACGAGGUGGCGAGAGGGAGAAAGUAGAGGCGAGGGACAGGGAGUUCAGGGGUGGGGCGAGAGGGAGAGAGCAGAGGCCAGGGUGAGGGAGGUCGGGGGCGGCGACCGACGCUAGCGCUGGUGUCGUCUGCUUCUCGCCGGAGAAGAAGGGGGGGAGGGGAGGGGAGGUCCGCCGCGGUGAGGUAGAGAGAGAGACGUGAGAGACGAAAGGAUUAAGA
rnacentral:lncRNA from 1 species